GCCAGCACCACCUGCGGAGCUGCGGCGCUACGCCGCGCCCCGACCCUGCCGCCCCUGCUCCCGCCACGCGCGCGCGCAAACAAAACAAGUUGCAGGUCGCAGCCGCCGGAGGGGGCGGGCGGGUCACUCACCCUCAUCCUGCUCAGCGGGCUUGGGUCGUCCGGCCGCGGGGACAGGGAAGACCAGAGGACUACUAGCCCCAGGAAGCUUCCCACCACCAGUAAACUGCGAGAACUCACCAAAAGGAAUCGCAUCUAUUCUUGGAUUGCAGUGUGAAGGCACAGCGCAUCCCCUGGAGCCCUCCGCACACCCGUUUAAUGCUGCAACCAAGCUGAACCUGAGUCUCUAAAUGUGUCUUGAACUCCUUGCCUUCAGGCCUUUUACUGGAGUUCCCCUGAAGUGACACCUCCAUCUCAUCCAAAGCUUUCCCGCAUCCAUCCCCAACGCCCUUGUCUCUCCCUAACCAAUGUACCGGGAUAGGUACCCAGCUGGGGGCUUCCACUGCACUUUUCCUUCUCUAUGAGUGACCGCUACAUUGUAAUUGCUUAAUUUCUUUUUUCCACUCCCAGAAUAAAAGGUACAUGAGGGUGGAUGUCUAGAUAGAUAGAUCUCCAUCUAGUUCAUCAUUAUAUUCCUGUGUUUAUUGUGCAGAAAGGGUUCAAUAAAUAUUUUUUGAUGAAA